CAGAGGAAACAGCUAUUGCCUCAUUGAAGAGAGCGCUUGGUUCUCUGAACACACACCUUGCCUCAAAGACAUUCCUUGUUGGGCAUUCUGUCACUCUAGCUGACAUUGUAUUGACAUGCAACCUCUACCAUGGAUUUGCACGGGUCUUGACCAAGAGCUUCACAUCUGAGUUCCCUCAUGUCGAGAGGUAUUUCUGGACCAUGGUUAACCAGCCUAACUUCAAGAAGGUCAUGGGUGAUGUCAAGCAGGCAGAGUCAGUGCCUCCUGUUCAGAAAAAGGCUGCUGCCCCUAAGGAGCCAAAGGCAAAGGAUGUGAAGAAAGAAGCCCCAAAGGAGGCCCCGAAGCCAAAGGCGGUUGAGGCACCGGCAGAAGAGGAGGCACCAAAGCCGAAGCCGAAGAAUCCUCUUGACUUGCUGCCACCGAGCAAGAUGAUCCUUGAUGACUGGAAGAGGCUAUACUCAAACACAAAGACCAACUUCCGGGAGGUCGCCAUCAAAGGUACCUUCUCGACCUGAAUAUCAACAAUAUAUUAGUUCUUGCCUUCCAACCAUUAAAAUCAUUAAAUGUGAUGGCUGGUGAAGAAGUCCUGUAUGCGGUCUAUCAGUGUUGCAUUGAGAAAAACUUGGGAGUCCCUUCUGAAUUAGGUGCUUGUUCCUGUCUAAAAUUUGGGUGUGGCCUUGUCUGAUAACGAAUGUUGUUCUAGACAUUAUAAUGGAUGGUAUUAUACAUGUUACUACUCGGGUCAACUAAUAGAUAGCUGUAAAGAUUUACACCAAUCCAAACUAACUCACACAGUGGUAACAGUAGUUGUGUAUCAGGUAAGCUUUGAUAAGCACUACUUUGUUAAUAUUUAGGUUGCAACAGCAGUUACAGUAAUCUAAUUAGAUGAAUGUGCUAGAUUCAUUCUUCCAUCUUUGGGGGAUUUUGACCAAAACUUACAUGCUGUGUUACAGGUUUCUGGGACAUGUAUGAUCCGGAGGGCUACUCUCUCUGGUUCUGUGACUACAAGUACAAUGAUGAGAACACUGUCUCCUUUGUGACCAUGAACAAGGUUGGUGGGUUCCUGCAGCGGAUGGACCUGUGCCGCAAGUACGCCUUUGGCAAGAUGCUUGUGGUUGGCUCUGAGCCCCCAUUCAAGUUGAAGGGGCUAUGGCUCUUCCGUGGCCAGGAGGUCCCGAAGUUUGUGAUGGAUGAGGUCUAUGACAUGGAGCUCUACGAGUGGACCAAGGUGGACAUCUCCGACGAGACCCAGAGGGAGCGUGUCAGUGCCAUGAUCGAGGACCAAGAGCCCUUCGAGGGCGAGGCCCUGCUCGACGCGAAAUGCUUCAAGUGAGGUUCCACUUACCUGAAGAUUGAACUGCUUAGGCUUUGGAUUGGAUGUCUAUGGAAGAGUUUGCUUGUACCUGUCUAUGUUUACCUGAUAAUACACCCUCGUGAACUGGUUGAAGUUUGUGCUUAGUUGAGAAUUUUGGGCUAUCCUGUGUUCUGUCGCGUAUUUGCAUUCUUUCAUAUCAGUAAUCUGAUCCUGUUUCGGUAUGGGACUGAAAUAUUGUAUCAUCUGGCGACUAGUAGUCCCUUGUUUUUUUACAGAGUUGCGAGACAGUAGGAGCAAACUUCGUUGUAUUCGUUUUGCUUUGUUUUUGAGGAGCGUUUUUGCUUGUGUUUGAGCUCCUCAGAUUGAAACUUUGUAGAACAUCUUUAGUUGAUUCAUUUGCUAGUGAAAACCUCCCGGUUUAAGAGUUGUUUCAUGUGAGCAUUUCACAUAAUCAUCGCUGUGAAAACUUAGGACUAGUCUCACCGAUGACCUCCAGAAAUUGCGGAAGAGCACUGGCCAUCAUAAUGUAUCAGUUCACCAGUAGCACUGGAACAGCACCAAUUUUUACUAAUAAUAUCCAAUUGUGAAAAUCACCUUUAACGGCAAGAUAUGGUGCACAGUGAUGGUGGGGAACCAUAUGGUACAGGUUCUACAGAGAGGAAUGCACCAAGAACAAUGGGUAAAAUGGUAGCUGAUAUAAAAGGACAACUUGAUACAAAACAUCUAAAAAAAAUAAAAUUAUACUGAACGAUACAUUCUCAUUACAUUCUGAAUGAUACUUUUGCAUCGACAUGUUUGAGCCGAAAAAUCUGAAGGCCAUGAGGUUAUGGCCCAUUAGAACUGCUAUAGUGUCAAUACAUAAAGCAUAAAAAAUAUGAUCUUAUUGCUUUGAGGCUAAUUGAGAUUGAUAAGAAUCAUCUUUUUAUAUAAUAUAGUGUCAUGGCACACCAACAGAUAAUAUAGUUUGAACUAAAGGAAGCAAGCUACAUCAUUCAAAGUUUUUCCUUGUUUUUUAGCUGCUAAUAAUAAUUACGAAUUUGUUAUUACAAAUUUGUCAUAAGAAUUAUUUGUUAUAAUUGAGUGUCCAUGUGUUGCUACGAGUGGCAAAAUCUUUUCAUGAGAAUUCAAAGUAAUUUUAGUCAACUAAAACACAUAAUCAAUAACGUUGUUCCAAAGAAUUAUAAUCCACUUAUUAUUAAAUAUGUUUGACACAGGAAUCUCUACGUAGCUCCUAAUUUCAAAAAUACAUAAAGAAAGACACAUCUGUGGCUGAACCAUUCAAGUCUUUCUCAACCUGCUGAGCUGAUCAUAUCACUCAAUUAAAGAGAGGUCCACAAUAUAAAACUAACAUAUGGAUGAAGAAAAUUGCUCAAAUAAGGAUUUGAGUCGGCCAUCUAGUAUGGCCUGACUUAUCUACUAUCUCAAUCUAUAGUUGCAAUUAACAAUGCAACUAUAAAAAAAUUUCAUCCGUACUGCUUAUUAACAGGCAAGCCUUAUUCAUUUAUAUGCAUACCAACAAUCAUAUGUCACUGGUUUCUAAAUAAGCUACAUCAGAUUUCUAAAGCAAGCAAGUACAUCAGAGGUUUCUAAAGCAAGCGACAUAAGCUACAUCAGAUUUCUAAAGCAAGCAAGUACAUCAGAGGUUUCUAAAGCAAGCAAGUACAUGUCACUUGCUUGCUUUAGAAACCUGAUGCAGCUCUUGGUGAACUUCUGAAAAACAAAUUGAGCCCCUAAUGAUACCCUAUUGUCCAACAGUAUUGGUUUGUCAACCAUGAAGGGUUGCAGUCAUUCUCACACAAGAAUUUCAUAACCCGUAGAACUCUUGCACUACGAACAAGAAACAUGGCUAGCUGGAGCUCAUGCUGUCGGUUCAGUGUCAAAACCUUGUCAGGACUGUUCGCAAGCUGCUGCAGUCUGAAAUCAUUGAGAGUUCGGGCAUGACAGAAUAAUGCAUAUGCUUCGGCCCUUUGCCAGCAGAACUAUAUGACUUCGCCAAAAAGAAACAUCUGCACAAUUAUUCAAAGUGAAACUUGUAAGGAUAAUCCAAUGGGCAUUAUAUAUAAGUUUUCUAGCAUAUCAACUGAAACCUUGCUAACCAUCAGAACGAUUUAUACAAAUGGGGUGAUUUGGAAAAGGAUAGUGUAAACUAACUAUGCAAGUGAUUUUCAUUAAGCUCUUCGAUAACCUGAUUGUGUUUUGGUAUAUGUAGAUAAUUGGUGAAUAGCCCGCAGCAAGGCAUACAAACCAACAUGUCAAAGGGUGAAAAACUCGCAACCAAAAAAUAGUUCAGGAACAGAUUUAUCACCAAAAGAGAGACAAUGGAUGCGAAGAAAGCUGGUUGUUAAAGAGUUUGUUAUCCUUGGGAUAGAGUAUUACAAACCUCGCAGCUCUGAAAGCCAAGCCUUUCAGCUCAUACUCAUGAAUAAAAGAGUUCUUUUCUUUAUUUUUAUUUCUGCCAGAGCUAACAAAAUCUAUCAAGUCCGUUGUAUUCUGCAAAAGGCAGUUUCUCACCAGCAAAAGCACACAAGUCCAGUAAAAAAACGUGAGAACAUCUCAAAAGGGGCAUGAUAGAAAGCAAGCAUACCUGAAUAAGCAGAUCAUAUAGCCGAACAGGUUCUUCUCUGGCUUUGUGAUUCUCUCAUUUUUCUCAUCUCGAUGCUCUGUAAAUUUACUUUUAGCAAUGCUAACAAGUAACUGGUUGCAUUCUAUAGUCCUCAAUCCUAAAACAGCACUAACAGCCUUGUCAGGACCAUUCAAGUCAUCUCCUAUAUUCUCAGCAUUGCCAGCAGAAGCCUACAUUUGGAAUUUAUUAGUGAAAAAAACAGUAAGCAUUGUAUAUCAUAUCUCUAGUAUAAAAUAGAUUGUACAAAAUAUGACCAGUAAAACAAAAAAGUUUCGUACCAGGUCAUUGCGGAUGCAGCUCCGAGCAUCAUGGUAUGCAGAAACUACUUUAUGGCCUGACUUAUCUACUAUCUCAAUCUAUAGUUGCAAUUAACAAUGCAACUAUAAAAAAUUUUCAUCCGUACUGCUUAUUAACAGGCAAGCCUUAUUCACUUAUAUGCAUACCAACAAUCAUAUGUCACUGGUUUCUAAAUAAGCCACAUCAGGUUUCUAAAGCAAGCAAGUACAUGUCACUUGUUUCUAAAGCAAGCACGUACAUGUCACUUGCUUGCUUUAGAAACCUGAUGCAGCUCUUGGUGAACUUCUGAAAAACAAAUUGAGCCCCUAAUGAUGCCCUGUUGUCCAACAGUAAUCGCCUUUUUUGGUUUGUCAACCAUGAAGGGUUGCAGUCAUUCUCACACAAGAAUUUCAUAACCCGUAGAACUCUUGCACUACGAACAAGAAACAUGGCUAGCUGGAGCUCAUUCUUUCUCCCUCUGUAACCUUUCAGCACCACUGUCUUGAGACGAUAGUUGAGGCACUCUGUCUGAAUAUCCAUCUCAUAAUUCAAUAUUUCCAUGCUCUGGGGAACAACCAUGUGAGACUGCAACUCAACAAUAAAAUCCAUCAAUAUAAGCUCUAACCAGAAAUGAACAAUCAACAUUUUACCCAUAGGCAGUAACUACCGUGACACAGCAUCUCCAAGCAGGGGAAGCACCGGAGGAAGUGCGCCACAGGCUUCACCUGCGGCUCCGCCAUUUCCAGAGCAAGCGUCCUCACGCACCCGAACUCUGCUGACAGUCUAACAGCGGCAUUGAGCGAAGCAACGUGGAGCCAAGCUGCAGUUCCAGGGAUCCCGACCCCCAAGUAGCUGAACAUCUGCAGCCUCGGCGCAUGCACUACAUUUAUCCAUGGGCCCCAGUUGAUGUCGUGCGAGAGCAGCCUCUCCAGGGCGGGCGCGUCCUCGACGAGGUGCUCCAGCUCCUCGGCAUCCUGGGGCCGCGCCGCCGCGUCAGGGAGACCGACACCGUGAGGCUCCGCAGGCUCUGGGACCGCACGCGUAGCGUCCGGCAGCCGAAGACCCGGUCGAGCGCGGCGACCCCCGGGGGGGGGGGAGCGGGGCGACGGCGACAGGGAGCGGCGGGAGAGAAAGGGGCGAUGGCGGCGGAGAGCGGGGAGGAGGGGAGGCGAGCGCGAGGGGGAUGGAUCGCUCGCCCGGGUUGGAAGACGCUGACACUACCGUUUUAUUAGUAGUAGAGAUAAAAUGGGAACUGCUUGUUCGUUCGUUAGUUGAGGAGAUGCUGCUGCCAAGCGAAAAGGGAUAUCCGCUUCAGUUUCCAUUCCUGAUGCCAUUGACGGAGCCUAUUUGCACUACGGUUAUUCCUUUUUUUGGUGAAAUUUGGGCCCUUUUUCCUUUUUUUUUCCGGAAAAUGGUUAUGUCCGUUCUCAACCGCUAUGUUUGACUAGUUUCGAUGAGUAAUUUAAGACCAUCAUGCGCGCCACUACUCUAGGGAAGAAAAGUUUACCAGCAAACUAGCAACUGAGGGCGUGUUUAAAUCCGUGGAUUAAUUUUUAAUCUGGUUCAUAUCGGAUAUUUGGAUGUCCAUUAAGAAAACUAAAUUUAACUGUCAAACCAAUUGUAUAAAUAGAGACUAAUUCACGAGACGAAUCUAUUAAAUCUAAUUAAUCCAUCUUAAUGUAACACAAUAUUAUCAAAUUAUAGACUAAUUAGGCUUAAUGGAUUCGUCUAACGAAUUAGCCUCUAUUUAUGCAAUAGGUUUUGUAAUUAGGUUAUAUUUAAUAUUUUUAAUUGGUGUCCAAACAUUCGAUGUGACGAGACUAAAGUUUAUUGGUGUCCAAAUAUUCGAUGUGACGAGAUUAAAGUUUAUUCGUGCCUAAAUAUUCGAUGUGAUGAGAUUAAAAUUUAGUUUUAAGGAAGACGUAAGAAACCAAACAAUACUCGUGUGAUCAAGAAGCUUUCGAAAAUCUUCUCUCUUCUUUUAGAGCAACUGCAUCGUAGAACUUUGAAAUGUUUUUUAACUACAAGAUAGUAAGGCUAAAUUCUUCCUCAAGUUUAGUUCCAACUUCCAAGCUUUUCUAAUUUUAGCUGAAACCGAGUUAAAGCAUGCUUUCUAUUUUGUUGAUUACUUGACUCACCCGCCACGGAGGCUGGUGAAGGGUAGAAAAUUAUUUGUCAUUUUCCGUUAAGCCCCCUCGUUAGGCCGAAAGGAAGUGCAGCGAGGACCUUAUCCAAAUUUCAAGAUAGCACGAGGAGUGCAACCCACCAAGUUCCCUCGCAUCCAGCUCGUCCCGCGGUCAAUCCCGUCCGUCCGAUCCUCGCCAUCCGACGCCCGCCGACGCAACCCUAGAUACUGGUUUCCUCCUCCCCUUCCUCUCCGCUGCGCCGCCAUCACAUAAAUCCACCGCCCUCUCCCCCCCGUAAACCCUCUCUCCCUCCGGCGGCCUGCUCCUGCGAUCUGCGGACGUAGACCCGCGGAACUACUCGACAUGGCGCUCGUGAGUUCCUGCUCUUCCUCCAUCCUCCUUUUGGGUUUUGUCCGGCUGUUUCAGUAGUGGCUAGUGGUGGCUAUGUAGUUAAUUGCGCAUCGGACUGGCUGUGAGGAUCUAUUGGCUGCCGCGGCUGUUCAGCUGGUGGGAUCUUGAUGUUUGAGGAGUCCUGCCUUGUAGUUAGUUUGAUCUGAUGCGCGACGGGGGGUGUCGAUUUUUCGUCUCUGUUCGAUGCGAUUCGCGCGUCAAAUGGGUGUGGAAACGUAGAAGCGACCGGGGCGCCGUAGGCUGUUUAGAUCCUCAACUGGACCCUGUUUCGUCCAGGCGUGUCCUUAGUAAAACAUCACCGAGCUCCUGGUUUGUUUCAACUUCAAGCAGCACCGUAAACUUUGGCCUUUAGAAAGCAUAGGGGAGGCAAUAGAUCACUUGUUGGCAUCCCCUUGUUUACACCGGGGAAGUCUUGGGGUCUUAUACAUAGUUUGAUUUGAUGGGGAUGAUUCACUGGGCAAGUGAUGCCACUCGGAGUUGCUGGCUUACUAGUAGGAUGGCUGGGUGUGCAUUUAUAGAAGGCCUUUUUGACCAGUGUGAUCGUGGUGCUUCUGGGGAGGGAAUUGCUUAGCAGACAACCAUUUAUGCACAACUUGAAGUAUAAUAAUGUAUUCGAGCCAUUGGAUUCACUUAAGAGCUGUCAUCCCAACCCAAUUUAUUUUAAAUUUCUGAUCUUUAGUUGUGCUUGAGUGAAAAUUACUUGUAGCAGUGCUAUUUUGGUGACUGUAAAAGGAAAAGCAGGGUGUUUAGGGUGGGGGAUGGGGUAUUACGACGCAGCGCAGCUAGAAAUAAGUAUUGAAGAGGAAUUUAAGUUGUGAGGUGAAACAUGACUAUGUUGUAUUUAUUUUGAUAAGUUAGAAUCCGUUAGAAGAUUCAUAUCUAGUACUAUUUGCUAUGUUGCCUGUAGUUGGUUUCAUUGUUAAAACCAUCUUGCUUGGCUGUAUCUGUAUGAAAAAUGCUCAUGUGCCUUGUUGAAAUCUGAGAUUUCAUUGGCCACUUCAGAUUACAAACACUCAAUCUCAUGGAAUGCUGUGUACCUGUGUUUGAUUGUGUAUUUUUACGUGCUACUGAAACACAUGUGUUAUGUGGAUUAUGUUCUCUCACUUAGGUAAUGUUGUAGAUGUCAUUGCUUGGCUUGCAAGCACCAUUCACAAACACAAGUCCUGACUUUCAAUUUGUAAUACAAUGUCUAAUCUAUUUUUUGUUGCAUAGGUAUUGCAUUCUGGACCUGGAAACAAGAAUGCCUUCAAGGCACUUAUUGCUGCAGAAUACAGUGGGGUUAAGGUUGAGUUGACCAAGAAUUUUGAGAUGGGUGUCACCAACAAGACCCCUGAGUUUCUUAAGAUGAACCCCCUUGGGAAGGUACACCAUACACCAACUAUAUCUUAAAAAUCCUUUCACAAAAACUAAAUCUUAAACAUGGUUUUGUAGAUUGUUUCAGGAACUAACAAUUUCUUUCAGGUGCCUGUUUUGGAGACUCCUGAAGGUGCUGUUUUUGAGAGCAAUGCUAUUGCGCGCUAUGGUAUAUCUAUAGAUCCCAAACAUUUUCAUUCUAAUUCUUUCUUCAACUUUCCGCAGAUGAUAACCAUUCCUCUGUUUUUCUUUAAGUUGCUCGCUUGAAUGAUGGCAACCCUCUUUUUGGGACUUCUCGUAUUGAACAAGUGAGUAAUUUCUUGAAUGUUAACAUAGCUACAUAAGUAUUAGCACGUAUAACCUCUGAACCUCAUCAAUGGUUCUUGCAGGCCCAUGUUGAGCAGUGGAUGGACUUUGCUGCAACAGAAGUCGAUCCUGGUGUUGCAUGGUACUUGUACCCCAGGCUUGGUUACAUUCCUUAUUCUCAGACGGUAAGCUGUAGAAUGGGUAACUUGGAUCUUGUAUUAUUGAUCAUGAAAUAGCUUCAGUCUAACCUUUUGGCUUGUGCAGACAGAGGAAACAGCUAUUGCCUCAUUGAAGAGAGCGCUUGGUUCUCUGAACACACACCUUGCCUCAAAGACAUUCCUUGUUGGGCAUUCUGUCACUCUAGCUGACAUUGUAUUGACAUGCAACCUCUACCAUGGAUUUGCACGGGUCUUGACCAAGAGCUUCACAUCUGAGUUCCCUCAUGUCGAGAGGUAUUUCUGGACCAUGGUUAACCAGCCUAACUUCAAGAAGGUCAUGGGUGAUGUCAAGCAGGCAGAGUCAGUGCCUCCUGUUCAGAAAAAGGCUGCUGCACCUAAGGAGCCAAAGGCAAAGGAUGUGAAGAAAGAAGCCCCAAAGGAGGCCCCGAAGCCAAAGGCGGUUGAGGCACCGGCAGAAGAGGAGGCACCAAAGCC
rnacentral:lncRNA from 1 species